UUAUAGUCUCAUUAGAAUUACCGCCAACAUACUAUUUCUACUACUUUCUUCUUUCUUCCCCAGUUCUCUCUUGUAAAACCAGUAGCCGCCACCACAACUGAUUUUAUUCAGUUCUUCUCCAUUAAAACCACCACAAAGAACAAAAUUAUCGACAACCUUCAUCAAACCCAUAACGCUGAUCCUCUCAUGGCUUGUAGUUUUAUCUUUUUUGGUUGUAACUCUGGUACGCCUUGGACUAAUGAGUUAAUCUUUCUCAUUUCGUCGUAAGUAGUUCUCUGGAUCGGGUAGAGAAGAUUGAGUUGCUUCACAUAUAACUAUGGAUUCUGCAUUCCUUUGUCGAUAAAAGUGUUUUGGUGGUGGAAGAGGGUAGCAUCCUAAAAGUGUUUUGGCACUAACAGAAGCUGUUAAAGACACUGCCACACCUUUGUUAACCUAAAAAUGCUUGGCACUAACUCGGGUGCUGCAACAUACAUUUUUGUAGAAAGAAAUUAUGUUUUGCUUUGAUCACUAGUGCUAGGAAGUCAUGUAUACAUUGUUAAACCAAAAUAUGCUAACUGUACCUUUUGGAAAACCUAAAUGCACCCAACUGCCAGCUCACCGUUGUUGGCAUCUCUUCUUCUGCCGUCGAUUUUCUCAUUUGUACUCUAGUGGAGGGUGAUGCAUGGUUUAAGUAUCCUUUCAUUCUAAUUUAGUAUGAUAAGUAAUUACUUUGGAAAAUUCUGAACUAGUUUUUACUUGUAUAUCCUGGCUCACUCCUUCAAGUAUGGGUAUUGAUGUUUACUGCAAUAUAGACAAACCAUUUAUGUGCUGCAUUCACAUACCUUAUUCAUGCAGAGAAUAUUUUGUGUAUAUAUGUAAUCGUGUGAUAAUUGGGUUGUCAUCCUUUUGCAUUCACAUACCUUAUUCAUCUUGCAUGUAUGUGGAUUUUCUUUCCUAGGAAUUUGCUGACCAUUUGCCUGCUUUGGUUAUGGGUAGUGAUAGGUUUGGCUUAACUUUUCCCCCUGCUUAUAUUUAGUCAUGUAGUAUAUGUUUGGUUACCACAUAGGGUUCCAUCCAAGUGUUAGCCAUUUUAGAGAUCUAGAAAUCUUAACGGUUUUGUCCGAGGAUUUCAAAGAUUUCUUUUCACUAGGGAUAUUAAGAAUGCAUAUAGGUAAUCAUCCAGCUGCACCUCUUUCGAUACAUGUAAUCUAUAUAGAUUGACAUUUCAUGUUCAGCUUGCUUGUAUGUGGAUUUUCUUUUGCAGGAAUUUGCUGACCAUUUGCAUGCUUUGGUUAUGGAUAUUGAUAGGUCUGGCUUAACUUUUUCCCCUGUUCAUAUUUAGUCACGUAGUGUAUGUUUGAUAGGAUUCCGUCCAAGUGUUAGCCAUUCUAGAAAUCUAGAAAUCUUAUCUGUCCGUGGAUUUCAAAGAAUUCUUUUCACUAGGGAUAUAAAGAAUGCAUAUAGGUAAUCAUUCAGUUUUGGUUAUGGAUAUUGAUAGGUUUGGCUUCACUUUUCCCCCUGCUUAUAUUUAGUCAUGUAGUGUAUGUUUGGUUACCAAAUAGGGUUCCAUCCAAGUGUUAGUCAUUCUAGAGAUCUAGAAAUCUUAACGGUUUUGUCCGUGGAUUUCAAAGAUUUCUUUUCACUAGGGAUAUUAGGAAUGCAUAUAGGUAAAUCAUUCAGCUAUACCUCUUUGGAUACAUGUAAUCUAUAUAGAUUGACAUUUCAUGUUCAGCUUGCUUGUAUGUGGAUUUUCUUUUGCAGGAAUUUGCUGACCGUUUGCCUGCUUUGGUUAUGGAUAUUGAUAGGUUUGGCUUAACUUUUUCCCCUGCUCAUAUGUAGUCACGUGGUGUAUGUUUGAUAGGAUUCCGUCCAAGUGUCAGCCAUUCUAGAAAUCUAGAAAUCUUAUCUGUCCGUGUAUUUCAAAGAAAUCUUUUCACUAGGGAUAUUAAGAAUGCAUAUAGGUAAUCAUUCAGUUUUGGUUAUGGAUAUUGAUAGGUUUGGCUUCACUUUCCCCCCUGCUUAUAUUUAGUCAUGUAGUGUAUGUUUGGUUACCAAAUAGGGUUCCUUCCAAGUGUCAGCCAUUUUAGAGAUCUAGAAAUCUUAACGGUUUUGUCCGUGGAUUUUAAAGAUUUCUUUUCACUAGGGAUAUUAGGAAUGCAUAUAGGUAAAUCAUUCAGCUGCACCUCUUUGGAUACAUGUAAUCUAUAUAGAUUGACAUUUAAUGUUCAGCUUGCUUGUAUGUGGAUUUUCUUUUGCAGGAAUUUGCUGACCGUUUGCCUGCAUUGGUUAUGGAUAUUGAUAGGCUUGGCUUAACUUUUUCCCCUGCUCAUAUUUAGUCACGUAGUGUAUGUUUGAUAGGAAUCCGUGUCAGCCAUUCUAGAAAUCUUAUCUGUCCGUGGAUUUUAAAGAAUUCUUUUCACUAGGGAUAUUAAGAAUGCAUAUAGGUAAUCAUUCAGUUUUGGUUAUGGAUAUUGAUAGGUUUGGCUUCACUUUCCCCCUGCUUAUCAUGUAGUGUAUGUUUGGUUACCAAAUAGGGUUCCGUCCAAGUAUUAGCCAUUUUAGAGAUCUAGAAAUCUUAACGGUUCUGUCCGUGGAUUUCAAAGAUUUAUUUUCACUAGGGAUAUUAAGAAUGCAUAUAGGUAAUCAUUCUGCUGCACCUCUUUCGAUACAUGUAAUCUAUAUAGAUUGACAUUUCAUGUUCAGCUUGCUUGUAUGUGGAUUUUCUUUUGCAGGAAUUUGCUGACCAUUUGCUUUGGUUAUGGAUAUUGAUAGGUUUGGCUUAACUUUUUCCCCUGUUCAUAUUUAGUCACGCAGUGUAUGUUUGAUAGGGUUCCGUCCAAGUGUCAGCCAUUUUAGAGAUCUAGAAAUCCUAUCUGUCCGUGGAUUUAAAAGAUUUCUUUUCACUAGGGAUAUUAAGAAUGCAUAUAGGUAAUCAUUCAGUUUUGGUUAUGGAUAUUGAUAGGUUUGGCUUCACUUUCCCCCCUGCUUAUAUUUAGUCAUGUAGUGUAUGUUUGGUUACCAAAUAGGGUUCCAUCCAAGUGUUAGCCAUUUUAGAGAUCUAGAAAUCUUAACGGUUUUGUCCGUGGAUUUCAAAGAUUUCUUUUCACUAGGGAUAUUAGGAAUGCAUAUAGGUAAAUCAUUCAGCUGCACCUCUUUGGAUACAUGUAAUCUAUAUAGAUUGACAUUUCAUGUUCAGCUUGCUUGUAUGUGGAUUUUCUUUUGCAGGAAUUUGCUGACCGUUCGCCUGCUUUGGUUAUGGAUAUUGAUAGGUUUGGCUUAUUUUUUCCCCCUGCUUAUAUUUGGUCACGUAAUGUAUGUUGAUAAUUCCACUAGAUCAAGUGUUGCCAUUUUGGAGAUUUAGAAAUUUUAACGGUUCUGUCCGUGGAUUUCGAAGAUUUCUUCAUUGGUAGGUAAUGCUUAUGUUAUUGUGUAUGGGUCAAAAGGUUUUGUUGAGUUUUGGCUUAUUUUUCUGUAGCAGCUUUUAUCUUUGGUCAUUCUAUUUGCGUCUGCACAUGUUAGUGGCUUAGUGCAGGUUUAUCCAUCAUUCUCAUUGAAAAUCGUGUUCUGGCUCACGUAUUUUAAGGUUUGUGACUGUUGAAUGCACUUGAAUUUCCAGCAUCGUAUUUGGUCGUUGUAUUGUUCAAUCAUUGUUUUUUUGCUUAAGUUAUCGGGUGUAUGAAUUAUUAUUUUUCAAGAUAUUUGCUGAUUCCUUACGUUAUUUUGUGUAUGGAUGGAAAGGUUUGGUUUAGUUUGUGCUUAUUUUUCUGUAGUUGCAUAUUCUUUGGUCGUUCUGUUUGUGUCUGCACAUGUUAGUGCAGGUUUAUCUAUUUCCAUUGGAAAGCGUGUUCCUAAUCAGGUGUUCUAAGGUUUGCGACUGUUAUAUUUAUUUAAAUUUUCAGCAUCAUAUUUGGUUAUCGCCCACCACAUCUGCCUUGCACCUUGUAAAAUUUAUGCACGACUGAAAUAAUACAGCUUAGCACACAACAUCCGCCUUUCAAUUUAUAUAUUGGGGAUUUCUGUAAAACUAGUGAACUAGACAUAACAGCACACUAUAAAUGUAAAGGUAACAUUAUUCUCGAGCAUUUUUUUUUCUUCUUUUAUGAAGGCAACAUACAGGCUUAACUUCGGAAAACUGUAUGAAUUGUGCUUCAACUCUUCUGAUUUAGUUGCUUUAAGAUUUUUGGAUUGUUGUUUCUUUAUCUGCACUUAGUUGAGGUUGUACCAGAGGUUAACCGGCCUUAUUAUAAGCUGGGUUCAGUAAUCUAUGAUAGUGGGAUGCGAUGCUAGGUUUGGUUGUUAUGGGACAAAGGGGGCAUGAUACUCCAGUAUAGAUUAGGGUUUGUUUUCUGCGCUGUAUCUUAUUGUGAUUUACGUUUAGUAAAACAGUUUAGGUGUCCAUCUGAUGCGACUUAAGGUAUAGAUUAUCUCCCUUAUGUUGGAACUUUGCAGGCCUGAUCUAUUUGGUUGUUUUUUUCAACAUUGUAAACCCGCGGCGCUUUACCUAUUUAUUGUUUAGGAAGUGAUGGCUUCAUCUUUUGCCUUUUUUAGUCUUUUACAGCCGAUUUUGUGUUUCACCUGUUUACUCCAUUUCAGUUGAUUAUGUAAUUCACAAUCACAGAUCAUUGAAUUAUCUUCUCUUUCAUCUUUCAGGUUUUGGAGUUUGCAUAGUGGGAACAUUUUCUAGUUUGAGUGGGAUUUUGUGGAGUCAAGAUUCUUUUAUGUUUGUGUCUUUUUAUUUUUGUUAGCAUUGGUUUCUCGUCAACGAGUUUUUGUAUUGAUACCAGGGGUGUAUGUUCUCCAUCAUUCCUGAAUCCUGAUCGAAUUAUCUCUGUAGAAUUUUCUAUUUCUUUGCUUUAAGUGAAAAUCCUGUGUGCAAUAUGUCUCAUCUCUUCUUGUGUUCUUCACCUUCACUGUUGUAGACAAGUGAUAUUUUUCUGUGGGUUAUUUGCAGCUAGGGUGCUUGCCUCCAUCCAGUGCGAUGUAUCUGAGGAACGUUGGUCAAACUAACCUUGAAAUGCACGAGCAUGCUAUUGUAAGGGGCUUGCAUAGUCACAUAGCGUUACCCCCUAGUGUUGUAUUUAAUCGCUGGUUUAAACUUGAGGAAGGUUAAAGUCAAACCAAUAUCAAACACAUCAUUGGUUCAGAUUUAAGGAGUGAACACAAAAGAGGAAGUACAAUGGUUUGCUGGUAAGAGGAUGGCUUACAUUUACAAGUUAAGGUGGAGAAAAUGGUUCUCAUUGUCGGGAAAAGUUAUCCGGCCUCAUGGUAACAGUGGUGGUGUUCAUGCUAAAUUCACUUCCAACAUACCACCUAAAUCCGGGGUGAGAGAAAUACACGAGACCCAUACACAAGACACAUUCAUUAGCUUUCAUCUUCAUGUGUACAUUCCUCUUUAUUUUUAUGUAGUACUGAAAGCCCGUAGUCUUCAAUUUGGAGACUUACAGAAAAAACUUCAAUCAGUUUGUGUAUGAAAAAUAAAUAAUAAUAAUAAUAAUAAUUAGUAUUAAUUCAGAGCA